UACGUAGGGUGCGAGCGUUGCCCGGAUUUAUUGGGCGUAAAGGGCGCGUAGGCGGCCACGCACGUCCGUUGUGAAAUCGCCCGGCUCAACUGGGCGGGGUCGGCGGAUACGGCGUGGCUGGAGCAAGCUAGGGGGCAAUGGAAUUCCCGGUGUAGUGGUGGAAUGCGUAGAUAUCGGAAGGAACACCUGUGGCGAAAGCGGCUUUCUGGGACAUUCCUGACGCUGAGGUUCGAAAGCUCGGGGAGCAAACAGG
rnacentral:rRNA from 1 species